rnacentral:SRP_RNA from 1 species
GCCGGGCGUAGUGGUGUGUGCCUGUAGUCCCAGAUACUCGGGAGGCUAAGGCAGGAGAAUCACUUGAACCCAGGAGGCAGAGGUUGCAGUGAGCUGAGAUCAUGCCACUGCACUCCAGCCUGGGUGACACAGUGAGAUUCUGUCUCAA